rnacentral:rRNA from 1 species
UGCAAGCGUUAUCCGGAUUCACUGGGUUUAAAGGGUGCGUAGGCGGAUUGGUAAGUCCGUGGUGAAAUCCCCGAGCUUAACUUGGGAACUGCCGUGGAUACUAUCAGUCUUGAAUAUCGUGGAGGUAAGCGGAAUAUGUCAUGUAGCGGUGAAAUGCUUAGAUAUGACAUAGAACACCAAUUGCGUAGGCAGCUUACUACUCGAUCAUUGACGCUGAGGCACGAAAGCGUGGGGAGCAAACAGG